UACGGAGGGAGCUAGCGUUGUUCGGAAUUACUGGGCGUAAAGCGCACGUAGGCGGCCAUUCAAGUCAGAGGUGAAAGCCCAGGGCUCAACCUUGGAACUGCCUUUGAAACUAGAUGGCUAGAAUCCUGGAGAGGCGAGUGGAAUUCCGAGUGUAGAGGUGAAAUUCGUAGAUAUUCGGAAGAACACCAGUGGCGAAGGCGACUCGCUGGACAGGUAUUGACGCUGAGGUGCGAAAGCGUGGGGAGCAAACAGG
rnacentral:rRNA from 1 species